rnacentral:rRNA from 1 species
GACGAACGCUGGCGGCGUGCUUAACACAUGCAAGUCGAACGGAAAGGCCCUGCUUUUGUGGGGUGCUCGAGUGGCGAACGGGUGAGUAACACGUGAGUAACCUGCCCUUGACUUUGGGAUAACUUCAGGAAACUGGGGCUAAUACCGGAUAGGAGCUCCUGCUGCAUGGUGGGGGUUGGAAAGUUUCGGCGGUUGGGGAUGGACUCGCGGCUUAUCAGCUUGUUGGUGGGGUAGUGGCUUACCAAGGCUUUGACGGGUAGCCGGCCUGAGAGGGUGACCGGCCACAUUGGGACUGAGAUACGGCCCAGACUCCUACAGGAGGCAGCAGUGAGGAAUAUUGCACAAUGGGCGGAAGCCUGAUGCAGCAACGCCGCGUGCGGGAUGACGGCCUUCGGGUUGUAAACCGCUUUCGCCUGUGACGAAGCGUGAGUGACGGUAAUGGGUAAAGAAGCACCGGCUAACUACGUG